rnacentral:lncRNA from 1 species
UUUGAAUAGUAGACUAAAACUGUCGCAAAAUAAAAUUCCAGCCCCAGCAGGCCUUACAUCAUUAGUAUCUCACUGAGAAUCGGGUCUGUUUGUUACGCGUUCAGUAAGUUGCCUUUCCUGAUUUCCAACCAUCGACAAUUUAAAAAAACAAACCACUUAUUGAAAAUACAGCAUAACAUUUACACCAUGCGUCAUACGAGCCUCUUCGUGCUCGGUUUGCUGAUAAGCUUUCCAUUGUUGGCGGAAUCGGGAUUAGUUGCUUACGGUGUAUGUCAAACGGGCUGUAACGCUCUGGCAGUUGCAUGUUACGCGGCCGCAGGAUUUACUUUCGGGGUGUCAACGUUUGGUGCAGGCAUACCUGCAGCUAUCGUCGGCUGCAAUGGGGCGUUGGGGAUUUGCAUGGCAGCAUGUGCUGCUACUAUAUUUGCGCCUACGCCAUGACACUACACCCCAUAGGCUCGUGACAUUUUAAAACCUUUAAAAUUUGUUAGAAUAUUUUGUAGUUAAUUUGUGUAUGCACAGUGAAAUUGAAAAUAUAUUAUAGCUUUCGUGGGUAGGCUAAUAAAAUUAUUAUACCUUCA